GGGGAAAUGGUAGGGAGACCACCCAGUAACGCAAUAAUGGUUCUCCCCCAACCCUUGCAUCCCACUCUUUCACCAGCUUCAACAAAGGCCCUUUCCUUGCACCUCUGAAGAUGCUCCUCACUCCAUAGACACCCCACAAAGGCCCCCUCCCUCCAGUUUCUCUGACAUCUCCCAGGGCUGACUGGGGCUGCCCCAGCCUGGUAUCUGGUCUCCUGUGUCCUAGUCAUUCCUUGUGUCCGUGUUUCUUCCUUAGGAGCUGGGGUCACCGUGCCAAAGAGGAGGAAUGAGAAGUGGGGGUCAUCUGUUUUCCAUAGCCUCUGCCCAUCUACCGAGUCUGGUUUGCCAGAAGAGGGGAAGGAGGAUAGGGGUGGGUGGUAAAAGAACCCUGUGACCCGUCCCCCAAACCUGUCCUGCAGCUUCUCACCCGACUGUCUUCUCCUCCAGAAGGAAAAUGGGUCACGCUCCACAAGAGCCUGUUAUCGCCAACCUGGCCCUGCUGCUGCCUGAUAGAGCCCAGCCCUCCCCCGCCAGAUCUCAUUAAGGGGUCGCUGCUUAUGCUUCCCAGCCGCCCCCCAUCCAUCUUUGGCCAUGGAUGACAGACUGGGCCUGGAGGCUGAUGUCCGGCAGGUGACAGGGUUAAUGGCAGAAGAGGGCAGAGGGCAGAGGCCAGCCAACUCACAGUGGCGGGAGGGCAGUCUGGGAGGCCCUGGGUCCACUCCAGUUGGGCAGCCUCACAAAUUACAGCACCUGGGGGAGGGAUGAGCCCCAGACCCCUCCAUCCCCAGGGAAGCAAGGUGGGCAGUAUCAGCCACCUUGGGAGCAGAUGGUGGGAGGAGAGAAUGUUAGCCUGGGAAGAAGAGGAAUAAAGACACUUAGAAGGGGAAGGAGAGCUGAAAAGAAGAGGGAGAAAUUUCUAUAUUUGUAGGCUCAGUGAAAACAUUGCUUCUUGGAUGCCUGGAUGCUCUUUGGCAAGAAACACACAUUUUGCAGACAUGUAUGAAGUCAGUGACAGCUGAUGGCCUGGGGAGCCCACCUGGAUCAGGGAGCCCACCUGGAUCAAGAACCCCACGAAAACAGGUGCGAAGCCUCAACUGCAGGCUCAGAGAAGCAGCAUAAGGAACUGUCAGUACUGAAGCAAGAGUUUUUUCCUCUUUUAUUAAGUCCGCUAUACUAACUAGAAGGAGAAUCUGUGGUUUUCGCCUGAUA
rnacentral:lncRNA from 1 species